rnacentral:rRNA from 1 species
GACGAACGCUGGCGGCGUGCUUAACACAUGCCAGUCGAACGAAGAGCGAUGGAAGCUUGCUUCUAUCAAUCUUAGUGGCGAACGGGUGAGUAACGCGUAAUCAACCUGCCCUUCAGAGGGGGACAACAGUUGGAAACGACUGCUAAUACCGCAUACGAUCUAAUCUCGGCAUCGAGGAUAGAUGAAAGGUGGCCUCUACAUGUAAGCUCUCACUGAAGGAGGGGAUUGCGUCUGAUUAGCUAGUUGGAGGGGUAACGGCCCACCAAGGCGAUGAUCAGUAGCCGGUCUGAGAGGAUGAACGGCCACAUUGGGACUGAGACACGGCCCAGACUCCUACGGGAGGCAGCAGUGGGGAAUCUUCCGCAAUGGACGAAAGUCUGACGGAGCAACGCCGCGUGAGUGAUGACGGCCUUCGGGUUGUAAAGCUCUGUUAAUCGGGACGAAAGGCCUUCUUGCGAAUAGUGAGAAGGAUUGACGGUACCGGAAUAGAAAGCCACGGCUAACUACGU